UGUAGCAAUACACUGAUGGCGACCGGCAAACGGGUGCGGAACACGUACGCAACCUUCCUUUAACUGGAGAAUAGCCCGGGGAAACCCGGAUUAAUACUCCGUAACAUUAUGAAGUGGCAUCACUUUAUAAUUAUAGCUCCGGCGGUUGAAGAUGGGCGUGCGUCUGAUUAGGUAGUUGGCGGGGUAACGGCCCACCAAGCCUACGAUCAGUAACUGGUGUGAGAGCACGACCAGUCACACGGGCACUGAGACGCGGGCCCGACUCCUACGGGAGGCAGCAGUAAGGAAUAUUGGUCAAUGGACGCAAGUCUGAACCAGCCAUGCCGCGUGGAGGAUGAAGGUCCUCUGGAUUGUAAACUUCUUUUAUUUGGGAAGAAACCCCCGAUUUCUAUUGGGGUUGACGGUACCAGAUGAAUAAGCACCGGCUAACUCCGUGCCAGCAGCCGCGGUAAUACGGAGGGUGCAAGCGUUAUCCGGAUUCACUGGGUUUAAAGGGUGCGUAGGCGGGUUGGUAAGUCCGUGGUGAAAUCUCCAAGCUUAACUUGGAAACUGCCGUGGAUACUAUCAAUCUUGAAUAUAGUGGAGGUGAGCGGAAUAUGUCAUGUAGCGGUGAAAUGCUUAGAUAUGACAUAGAACACCCAUUGCGAAGGCAGCUCGCUACACUAUUAUUGACGCUGAGGCACGAAAGCGUGGGGAUCAAACAGGAUUAGAUACCCUGGUAGUCCACGCCCUAAACGAUGAUUACUCGACAUCAGCGAUACACUGUUGGUGUCUGAGCGAAAGCAUUAAGUAAUCCACCUGGGAAGUACGACCGCAAGGUUGAAACUC
rnacentral:rRNA from 1 species